GGGUCGCUUUCCGAGUGGUUAAAGGAAACGGACUGUAAAUUCGUCGACAAUAAGUCUUCGCUGGUUCAAAUCCAGCUCGACCCC
rnacentral:tRNA from 1 species